rnacentral:sRNA from 1 species
GACCCUCGGGGAUUCCGUAAGAUGGUAAC